UACGGAGGAUGCGAGCGUUAUCCGGAUUUAUUGGGUUUAAAGGGUGCGUAGGCGGAAUAUCAAGUCAGCGGUAAAAAUUCGGGGCUCAACCCCGUUGUGCCGUUGAAACUGCCGUGCUAGAGAGGAAGAGAAGUAGGCGGAAUGCGCAGUGUAGCGGUGAAAUGCUUAGAUAUCACGAAGAACUCCGAUUGCGAAGGCAGCUCACUGGACUGCAACUGACACUGAGGCUCGAAAGUGUGGGUAUCAAACAGG
rnacentral:rRNA from 1 species